rnacentral:rRNA from 1 species
CUACGGGCGGCUGCAGUGGGGAAUAUUGGACAAUGGGCGAAAGCCUGAUCCAGCCAUGCCGCGUGUGUGAAGAAGGCCUUCGGGUUGUAAAGCACUUUCAGUGGGGAAGAAAGCCUUGGGGCUAAUACCCUCGAGGAAGGACAUCACCCACAGAAGAAGCACCGGCUAACUCCGUGCCAGCAGCCGCGGUAAUACGGAGGGUGCGAGCGUUAAUCGGAAUUACUGGGCGUAAAGCGCGCGUAGGCGGUCUGAUAAGCCGGUUGUGAAAGCCCCGGGCUCAACCUGGGAACGGCAUCCGGAACUGGCAGGCUAGAGUGCAGGAGAGGAAGGUAGAAUUCCCGGUGUAGCGGUGAAAUGCGUAGAGAUCGGGAGGAAUACCAGUGGCGAAGGCGGCCUUCUGGACUGACACUGACGCUGAGGUGCGAAAGCGUGGGUAGCAAACAGGAUUAGAUACCCCUGUAGUC